GUCUUUUAGACGACGAAGUGGUUGAUGCCAUGCUUCCAAGAAAAGCUUCUAAGCUUCAGGUAACCAGGAACCGUACCCCAAACCGACACAGGUGGUUGGGUAGAGAAUACCAAGGCGCUUGAGAGAACUCGGGUGAAGGAACUAGGCAAAAUGGCACCGUAACUUCGGGAGAAGGUGCGCCGGUGAGGGUGAAGGACUUGCUCCGUAAGCUCAUGCCGGUCGAAGAUACCAGGCCGCUGCGACUGUUUAUUAAAAACACAGCACUCUGCAAACACGAAAGUGGACGUAUAGGGUGUGACGCCUGCCCGGUGCCGGAAGGUUAAUUGAUGGGGUUAGCUAACGCGAAGCUCUUGAUCGAAGCCCCGGUAAACGGCGGCCGUAACUAUAACGGUCCUAAGGUAGCGAAAUUCCUUGUCGGGUAAGUUCCGACCUGCACGAAUGGCGUAACGAUGGCGGCGCUGUCUCCACCCGAGACUCAGUGAAAUUGAAAUCGCUGUGAAGAUGCAGUGUAUCCGCGGCUAGACGGAAAGACCCCGUGAACCUUUACUAUAGCUUUGCACUGGACUUUGAAUUUGCUUGUGUAGGAUAGGUGGGAGGCUUUGAAGCGUGGACGCCAGUCUGCGUGGAGCCAACCUUGAAAUACCACCCUGGCAACUUUGAGGUUCUAACUCAGGUCCGUUAUCCGGAUCGAGGACAGUGUAUGGUGGGUAGUUUGACUGGGGCGGUCUCCUCCUAAAGAGUAACGGAGGAGUACGAAGGUGCGCUCAGACCGGUCGGAAAUCGGUCGUAGAGUAUAAAGGCAAAAGCGCGCUUGACUGCGAGACAGACACGUCGAGCAGGUACGAAAGUAGGUCUUAGUGAUCCGGUGGUUCUGUAUGGAAGGGCCAUCGCUCAACGGAUAAAAGGUACUCCGGGGAUAACAGGCUGAUACCGCCCAAGAGUUCAUAUCGACGGCGGUGUUUGGCACCUCGAUGUCGGCUCAUCACAUCCUGGGGCUGAAGCCGGUCCCAAGGGUAUGGCUGUUCGCCAUUUAAAGUGGUACGCGAGCUGGGUUUAGAACGUCGUGAGACAGUUCGGUCCCUAUCUGCCGUGGACGUUUGAGAUUUGAGAGGGGCUGCUCCUAGUACGAGAGGACCGGAGUGGACGAACCUCUGGUGUUCCGGUUGUCACGCCAGUGGCAUUGCCGGGUAGCUAUGUUCGGAAUAGAUAACCGCUGAAAGCAUCUAAGCGGGAAACUAGCCUCAAGAUGAGAUCUCACUGGAACCUUGAGUUCCCUGAAGGGCCGUCGAAGACUACGACGUUGAUAGGUUGGGUGUGUAAGCGCUGUGAGGCGUUGAGCUAACCAAUACUAAUUGCCCGUGAGGCUUGACCAU
rnacentral:rRNA from 1 species